UAUGUCUUUAUUUAGUCCCAAACCUGUAAGGAUAUAUUGCAAAAAAAAAGUUUGGCAAAGUAUUUAAUUCAUCAUUCAUCAGCUCCCAGAUGCUAAGCUCCAAGCUAUCUCCUUCUGUCUGAACUUAAGAACUCAUCAAAAUGUUUCGUAUCCUAGUCUUUCCAAGUUCAGAAACCAUAUUAUUUGUCACCAAAAGAAAGAUUUUAUGAGACAAAACAUUCAUGUGAAAGAUUUGUAUUGAGAAUGGGAAAGAAACUUGUGUGCAUUUUACUCUAUCUUUUGUUAGUAUCUCCCCCACCCCACUUCUUUACUUUUCCAGCAAUAAAACCAGUUAAGAACAGACCAUCCUGCAAUAGCUUAUGGAUAUUGAAGUCAACAGUGAUCUUUCUACUUAGUUUUGGUAUGAAGAAAACUGCUCAUUAUCCAGUUAGUCUGUAAUCUUCAAAAGUGCCUUCUGAAGUCUCUACCAGGGAAACAUCAUUAAAAAUUCAGUACACAACUCACACAUCUCAUUUGUCCCCAAGUGUGUUGUGCAUCUGCUCUUUUUGGAUAAACGAAAGUAUUUCAGUUCUUCAAAGAAUGAACUUUGAAAAACACGGGAACAGUUGGCCAAAACAAGGACUAUUGCUUUGGUUUAAAGAGAUUAAGGAGAGAAAACCUGCUUUUUAUUUGAGCAGUUCAUCUUCAAAUGAUGGCAAGCUUUGUAGGGUGUAUGCAAAUAUAAGCAGAUAGUAAAACCACUGUCAGGAAAAUAAUGUUCCUUUUCAUAUGCAGAUUACCAUCCUUAAGAUGGCCUUUUAAUUAGCUUGAUUAUAGUGGUACUUCUUAGUAUCUCAGUGCUGUAAUUUAAGAAACUGUGCUCACCGUAAACUCUUAUUUUCAAAGAUUUUUAAAUAGCGCUGAGCAGCACAGCAGCAGCAGCAGCAGCAACAAUAACAACAACAAAAGAUAAAUUUAUGUGGGGAUUUGAAUGAGUGAAAAAUUAUUUGGGAGUAUUUUCAACCACUCCAUCUCAUACUUGACUUCACCUUGCGAAAGUUAAGAAUUGUUUAUAUUGCAGAGGAAUUCUCCCUGCUUUGUUUUUUUGUUUGUUUUUUUUCAUUUUUUUCCUUUUCUUUUUUUCUUUUAUUAAAAAAUAACAUUUGGAUGGUUUAACAAGUAAAAAAAAUUAAGUAAAAAAAUAUAGAGAUAAUAUAAUUGAUGUGUUUGAAAAAGUAAUUUGAGGAACAGAAUCUUCAUUGUAUUCAAAGAGUUGGAGUAGAGGUGGUGGAUGUUUUCUAAAUGAUGUACUCAGGAAAAAAAUCAUUUUGUUAUUAUUAUUAUUCAUACAGUUUCGGUAUAUUACUCAUAAGGAAAUUUUUUCUCAAAAAAUAUUUUAAAAUAAUCACAUAUAGCCAAAUCUUGCAAAGACCUGGACACUUGCAAUCACAAACUUUCCCUUCCUCAGUUGUUCACCUACUUCUGGCCUCAGAGAAGAGCCACCUAACAUCAUGCACAUUGGCUUGUACUCAUUUUAUUGCGGCUCCUUUCUGGGAAUGGAGCAAGAGCGCUAGCCAAGGAUAUUGCUGUGUUGAAGUGUAAGGAAGAGUAAGAGGAGCACCUAAAUAGCAGGAACUUGUCCAGUUGUUGGAACUGGUGCUAGUCCUUUGGCUCCUACCUCUUCUCUCAGCAAUACUUAAUGGCAGGAGGUAGAGAGGUCAUGGGGAGCCAGAUCAGCUAAGGCUAUCAGCUCCAGCUCUGCGUAUCCACUGCCUACAGCUUUGUGCCAGCUUUGCUGAGGUUGAUGGAGUGAAGAGGCAUCUAUGCUAAGUGGCUGCAUGACUGCAACUUCAGAUAUACAAAUUGAGUAACAAUUUGAUUCCUUUAAAAGCUCAUCUUGCCAUACUCUGUGGGCAGAGAAGAAUCAGACCAUAUAAUUUAAUGGAUCGUUCAAGCUGCAAGCAAGCCACGGCAGAUUGGACAGCUGUGAUUGUCUGUCCCAGAGGCACACUGGCUUGCCUCAUCACAUCACAUUGAUGUGGUGUUUUAAAACUUUUUAAUAUCUCAGCCAAACAUACCAUUUACACUGAAAUACACUACUAAAUCCAAGACACAGAAAAAGAGAACAGGUCAGUUAUCCUCAGAUGAAGUAGAUUUGUUUAAUUUUUAAGAUAAAGGUGAUUGUACAAGCAUUAUGCUAUGUAUUGGUCUAAUCCAACAACUGUAUUCAAAGUUCAUCAGCAGAGUUCAGGCUUUUGACAUCAGCUGAGGGAACUUGUCUGACAAUUAGAAUGCUGAUUCAGAGCCAUCCCUGCACAGAUAUCCGUGAAUGCUGAUUUCCCUUUGCGCUGUGAGUAGUAAUGGCAUUUUAACUUACUACUAUCACUAAACUCCAAGUUUUAUUUGCAUUUGCAAUCUGCUGAUUAAUUUUUGCAGAACUGCAACUGGAUCAGCUUUUAUACCUUGCAUUUUGAUAGCACUAUUCUAAUUUUCUCUUUUUAGUAAAUAAAGUUCCAGU
ensembl:lncRNA